rnacentral:rRNA from 1 species
GAACGAACGCUGGCGGCAGGCUUAACACAUGCAAGUCGAACGCCCGCAAGGGGAGUGGCAGACGGGUGAGUAACGCGUGGGAAUCUACCCAUCUCUACGGAAUAACUCAGGGAAACUUGUGCUAAUACCGUAUACGCCCUUAGGGGGAAAGAUUUAUCGGAGAUGGAUGAGCCCGCGUUGGAUUAGCUAGUUGGUGGGUAAAGGCCUACCAAGGCGACGAUCCAUAGCUGGUCUGAGAGGAUGAUCAGCCACACUGGGACUGAGACACGGCCCAGACUCCUACGGGAGGCAGCAGUGGGGAAUAUUGGACAAUGGGCGCAAGCCUGAUCCAGCCAUGCCGCGUGAGUGAUGAAGGCCCUAGGGUUGUAAAGCUCUUUCACCGGUGAAGAUAAUGACGGUAACCGGAGAAGAAGCCCCGGCUAACUUCGUG